rnacentral:rRNA from 1 species
UGCAGUCGGACGACAGGCGAGGAAUCCGCAAGGAGGAAUCGUGCUGAGUGGCGAACGGGUGAGUAAGACAUGGGGACGUACCCUCAAGAGGGGGAUAGCAUUCCGAAAGGGAUGGUAAUACCCCGUAAGCUCGAGAGAGGGAAGGUGCAACAGCACCGCUUGAGGAGCGACUCAUGGCCCAUCAGUUAGUUGGUGAGGUAAAGGCCCACCAAGGCUAUGACGGGUAGCUGGUCUGAGAGGAUGGUCAGCCACACUGGGACUGAGACACGGCCCAGACUCCUACGGGAGGCAGCAGUGGGGAAUUUUUCCCAAUGGGCGAAAGCCUGAGGGAGCGACGCCGCGUGGAGGAAGGAGUCUUUCGAGAUGUAAACUCCUGUUGUAAGGGAGCAAGGGUAUAUGUAGUGGAAAGGCAUAUACUCGGAUAGUACCUUACGAGGAAGCCCCGGCUAACUACGUGCCAGCAGCCGCGGUAAUACGUAGGGGGCGAGCGUUGUCCGGAGUUACUGGGCGUAAAGGGUGCGUAGGUGGCCGAUAAAGUCAAUUGUGAAAUUCCACGGCUCAACUGUGGGAGUGCGGUUGAAACUAAUCGGCUUGAGGUCAGGUCAGGAAGAUGGAAUUGUCAGUGUAGGGGUGAAAUCCGUASAUAUUGGCAAGAACGCCGGUGGUGAAGACGGUCUUCUGGGCUGAUACUGACACUGAGGCACGAAAGCUAGGGGAGCGAACGGGAUUAGAUACCCCGGUAGUCCUAGCCGUAAACGAUGUUCACUGAGUAUGGGA